GUAACCAGUAAAUAACCUGGUAAAAAUGUGAUUGUUUACUUCCGGUGCAGGUUACUUUCUUAUAUGCAAUGAAAUGUAGUGUGAAAUUUUCACUGUAGCACUGGAAAGGAUUAAACUUUAUUCAUGCAAAGUAUUUCUUUGGUUGAAAUAAAGUGUUCACAUGUUCUGAAGAGCAUUCUGUUGAAAAAUCUUAUAUGUGAAUUGGUCUGCAGAUGACACUUCAGCAUUAAAACAAAAGAUAUCAAGUUUUGAUGAAAAAGGAAGGAAGGAGGAAAAAUGGACCAAAACAGACCUUCAAAUGAACUCUAAAAGGUGCAAUAAAAUUGUUUAUCAUCUAAAAGUUGUCUUUUGUAUUCUAUUUAAUUGUUUGAAUGCAUAGAUCAUGAGUUUUUGAUCAGAUAUUAGUCAACACUGCAUUUUAUAAUGAUACACUGAAAUUUGGAUUUGUCGAAGAAAUUAGACUGAAAUUGCCAUAGGAUAUGGCCUUACAUUAUAGUGAUUUUCUCUGAAACUAUAGAUCUGACUGAGACAAAACUUGGCAGUUAUGCUUGAAAUAACUUGCAAU